UCCAGUCUCUUCUCCACAUCUGAAUUUAAAUAUUUGUUUGUUGUGAAUAAUUUCCGAUGUAUUCUCGACGGAUUUCUUCCUGAGAGGUGUCUUGCGCACUUUGUGCACAUGUCUCAUCAUUACCAUUUUGCACUUCAGCUGUUGUGGAGCGUUAAAGGAUUCAAACUUGAAGUGGAAAUGGAUUCACCGACGCGAGCUCAUCAUGACAGGGAGAGAAAAACGAGCUUCACCACAUGAUAAACGACGCGCAUCGGCGGCUCGAAGACGCUCAUCGCUCAGUCUGCAGGCAGAUGAUGAUCUGAAACUUAAAAGGCUCGACGUUGCAGCACAAAAGGAUAAACUGAAAGAGGAG